CUCUGGAAGAGCAGUCAGUGUUCUUUUAACCACUAUCUCUCCAGACCCUGAAGGCAGUGGCUUGGCUUGGCUUCCUACAGCUUAAGAUUCCAGGGUUCAGCCACCAGAUCGCGGUGCACUGUGGUCCUUCUACCUGAUAUACAGGGAUACUGUUUCCUGCCAUUCCACACAUGAGAACUCCAGGUAGUAGACUUGGUUAAUGGAAUGGUUAUUUGGGAGUAGAGUUCCAAAAGUUAAGCUGUUUCUCCACUGUUUCUUUGACUCAGCCCAACAAAAUGAAGGGGAUUUGAGGGCCAGAGAUGGGUUCUGUUUUUUUAAACUGUGCGGGUGUUGACUGACUCUAAUCUAGGAUGUUUUGAUUUCAUAGUGCCCAGCUGCCAGUUUGAGGAGAUGCUUGCCCUGGAUGCCUUGAAAGUAGGGUGGUCUUCACCAGGCUAAAAGAAUGAUUGGGGAUUUAGCUCAGCGGUAGAGCGCCUGCCUAGCAAGAGGAAGGCCCUGGAAGGCCCUGGGUUCGGUCCCCAGCUCCGGAAAAGAAAAGAAAACAAAACAAAACAAAAAAGAAUGAUCCACAGCAGGGUGCUGUGGUUCUCAGAGCUGAAUGAGAUCUGCGUCCACCCAGGACUUCAGGUUUCUGACUACACCGGGUUUUGAGUAAUGUAUGUGGUCUCUGAUGUAGAGGUACUUCAGUUCAGAUGGGGGAAGUUAAGUUUGCCUUAGAGGGUUACAGAACUGAUGAAAUUCCAGAGAAUGAAGUCCAGCUAUGCUUUGGCAGAUGGGACAGCUCACACCCACGACCUCUGAGUUACAUACAUCUCCAGCUAUAAUUUGGGGGGGGGGCUAGAUGAUAUCUGUGUACUACAUAUGGCUAGCUACUUGCUAAUUAAAAAGUAAGUGGUUUUCAGACAUAUCUAGUUGGAUGGUAGCCAUCUUAGAAUGUUCCAGAAAGUUUAGGAUACUGCUUUGUAAAAGCAAAGGUUUAUAAAGAC
ensembl:lncRNA